rnacentral:misc_RNA from 1 species
GGAAGCAAUUGGUGCAGAUUGUGGCUCACUUAUCUUCAGACAACAAUUUACAAAGUCUGUUGGUGGGCAAAGGCAAAUAAGAAACCAGUGCAAGAGCAGCUCGCGGGGCAUUUCGAGCUACUGAAUAAGCUCGGGUAGACACCUGCUUGACAACUGGGGGAGCAUAGCGAAGUACAAGAGUGACAGAUGCAUCAACCUGGUUGUCUGCAAACUUGAGAACCUUAUUGGGAACAUCAUGGAACCUGUAAUAGAAAGGUCUAACCACGCUCUUAAUCGUAACCUCAGCAGUGUCAACACCAGGUUUCAAUGGACCAGACUUGUCCUUGACAAAAAGAUAGAGCUUUGAGGAAGAAACCAAGGCUAAAAC